UACGAAGGGGGGCUAGCGUUGCUCGGAAUCACUGGGCGUAAAGCGCACGUAGGCGGAUCUUUAAGUCAGGGGUGAAAUCCCAAGGCUCAACCUUGGAACUGCCUUUGAUACUGGGGAUCUCGAGUCCGGAAGAGGUUGGUGGAACUGCGAGUGUAGAGGUGAAAUUCGUAGAUAUUCGCAAGAACACCAGUGGCGAAGGCGGCCAACUGGUCCGGAACUGACGCUGAGGUGCGAAAGCGUGGGGAGCAAACAGGG
rnacentral:rRNA from 1 species